CUUAUUUUUAAAAUAGGUAUUAAUAAUUCUAACAGUUUCACUUGUUCUGUUGGUUAUAUUUUGCACAUAAAAUAUAAUAUUUUCUGUGUAAUAAAAAGCAAAAAUAAAUUGAACUUGACAUUCAUGUAAUAACUACAUGAAUAUCAUGUAAUAUCACACAAAGAAAAAAUGUUCCUUAAAGUUCAUGGACAAAAAUAAUGAGCCUUGUCCCCAGACUGAUAUAACUGAGACAGGGCACUCACUGUCAGGCUGAAUGAUGUCUCAAAGCAACCACAGUCGCAGGGGCCCUGUAUUCUGGAGAUGCUCAGCUCUCUUAAAUUCUCUUAAGUGUUUGUGUUUGAAAAGGGAAGGUAGAUUCCAGGGGGGGAAGUGGUACAAAAGUGGUACAAUCUGAUUGGAGUGUGCAGUUUAUUUAACACUUAUGUCCCAAUAUCAACUUCUUUGCUGUGUAUCAUAUAAAAUGUUAGCAGUAAGGAAAUGUGGACCAAGAAUACAUGGGAAAUUUCACAUUUUCUUUCUAACUUUUCUGCAAAUUUUAAAUUAUUUGAAAAUGAAAAGUUUAUUAAAGAGUAGGAGUGAGACCUAAAUCUGUGCACACAAAAAACCAAAACUGAGUUGUCUUGAUACUCUGAUGAGACCAUCAGAGGAACACACAAGUGGCAUUUCAGAACAACCUCUGGAGACAAGAGGAAGAAGUGACUAGGAGAGGGGCCUGUGAGGAUUCCGUGUGCUGGUCAUGUGCCAUUUCCUGACCUGGAGUUGUGGUUCUGCACAUGUAUUCCUUCUAUGGUAAUUCACCAUGCUGCACUUCAUGUUACAUUACCCUGACAUGAAUAAGAAUUUUCUAAGAACCAAGAUACUCAUGUAAUGGUACAAGAUCCCAAUGGUAAAUGUAACUGUAUUUUAUACCUAAAAUGUACCAAUAAACAAUGGGGAAAAAAAGAAUUUUUAAAAUACCUUCAUAUUUCUGGUAAAUACUCCUGUGUCACUGGUAUCAGUUAAAAUGUAGAGAACAUAUGGAAAUAAGUGAGGUGCACAAUAUGAGGAGCUACACAGGGGCAGAAAUAAAAAAAAUAUUAAACCACAAUGUAGAAUUUCCAGAGUGGAAAGGAUCUUGGGAGUCACGAAGUCCAGCAGUGGUCAGUUCUCUGUGGAGGCCGCUGAGCAGGUUCUGCUGUGGUGGGGCGAGCUAUCUUGUCCAGACAGUAGAGUUUCAAGAUUCUGAUGUACAGAUUGUGUAUCACUGAGCCAUCCUGGGAAGGUGAACUGACAUGUCGGAGCCAGAAUAUCAGAGAACUGGCACAAGGACCAAACUACACACCCAGUCCUCUACUCCUACAGCCCGAAGUGCUCAGCAAGUCUCCUGAGAAAAUGCCACUAGAAAGAUGUAUCAAUUCUGCAUAUUGACCUGACAGAUGAAUAGCUGGCAAGGAUUAUCUUCCAUUCUAUAAGUUGUCCCUUCACUGUGUUAUUUACUACGCAGCUCUUUACAUUGAUGUAUUCCACAGUGAUGUGAAGAACAUUGUAAACUUCCAUAGUGACACUUUCAUGUAAAUUCCAUAAAUCCUUAGAAAAAAUUCCUGAUUUUUUUAUCCCUGGGGCACGGCCAUGUAAUUUCACUUGAGCUCAUACACCGAUUACCAUCUAUUGCCUUCGGGUGAACAAAGUCUGAGGGAGAAAUUUAAGCAUCAGAAGCCCCAACACUGGGGCUCGGCCAGUAGCAGCCCAAGCCUUUCCGGGAGAGAAGAGAUCUCGAUCAGCCCAGGAAGAUUCCGUGAUACCAGCGCUAAUCAUCAUUUUCUAUUUGGAAGACGUCCCCAGGCAGAAUUUUGGGCUCGUCCCUGAGGGCCCCUGGACAGUCUGCUGGGAGACCUAGGCUCUUCAGAAGGGUGGCGUCCCCGUUUGUGGGCGGCUCCGGCUCUCCUGGCACAGGGCGCUUAUCGUGCCUGGCAGGCGGCGCCCCGCCUGGCGGGAGGCAGAGGUUCCACCUCCGUUCCGCUCCUGAGGGCCAACAGCGCUGCAUCCCACUCCCAGCUAUCUGCCUGCCGACCCGGACACAGCUGCGCCUGGCCCCGGGGAGUGGCAGACCGCAGCGGUGUCCUCCCGGGAGGGGAAUUUGCCAAGGGGGGCGAGGGUG
ensembl:lncRNA